UUACAUGAUAUGAUCUUUUUGUGUAUUUAUGAUAAAUUGGUAACAUUAAUAAUGACAUGCAUAUUUUUUAAGUAGUGAUCUUUUGAGACAUUAGAUAUACCAAAAAGUUCAAUAUACGACACUUUCUCUAAUAUGGAUAUAUGCAAAUGCAAAGAGAGAAACCUAAAAGUGUUAACUCAAAAGACUAUUUAAUUUAUGCUUUCUUUUUUUUCUUUCAUGUGAAAACUUUUAAAGCAAAUGAGUAGUUUAUAUAUUUGUUAUUCAGAUUAUGUCAAUCCAAAAUUUAGCCAUGAGUCUAUCAUGAUGUGAUUGGAAUACUAGAUUAUGAGAGAAUACAUGGAACAAGAAAUUGUUUGCUUAGAAUCAAGUUAGACAACUUUCAAACCAAAUAAGUAGCAUAAUUGCAUACCAUUGUAUCAUAUUGUUGAUGUAAGUAUUUCAUGAUAGUUAAAAAAGUUUAGAAACUUGGGUAUAUAGAUAAAAAAAAACUAUACAUAAAAAAAAUAUAAUUGAUAUUUGAAUCAAAAGUGAAUCUAACUAUACAAAUAUAUUACAUAAAAUGAAUAUAACUUUAUUAACUACGAAAAUAACAUAAAUUAGCAAUAAAAAUAGUUAAACAUAACAACUCAUUCGUAGCGUGGGUACUCACCUAGUCAUUUACUAAAGUUUAUGCGUUGCUUGAUUUCGUUAUUUGUGGUUUGUGUUUAGUUUUCUUUUGUUGUUGUCA
rnacentral:sRNA from 1 species